rfam:Manacus vitellinus contig17474, whole genome shotgun sequence.
CCCCUGGUGGUCUAGUGGUUAGGAUGCGGCGCUCUCACCACCAGAGCCCGGGUUCGAUUCCCGGUCAGGGAA